GUCUCCAUGGCGUAAUUGGUAAGUUACUCAAUUAUCUCGCAUAAAUCAACCAAUCACUAACCCUCUAUCAAGGCUAGCGCGUUCGACUGUUAGUAAUAACAUGUUAUCGAGAGGUUCCAAGUUCGAUCCUUGGUGGGGACG